GACGAACGCUGGCGGCGUGCUUAACACAUGCAAGUCGAACGGAAAGGCCCUGCUUUUGUGGGGUUCUCGAGUGGCGAACGGGUGAGUAACACGUGAGUAACCUGCCCUUGACUUUGGGAUAACUUCAGGAAACUGGGGCUAAUACCGGAUAGGAUCUCCUGCUGCAUGGUGGGGGUUGGAAAGUUUCGGCGGUUGGGGAUGGACUCGCGGCUUAUCAGCUUGUUGGUGGGGUAGUGGCUUACCAAGGCUUUGACGGGUAGCCGGCCUGAGAGGGUGACCGGCCACAUUGGGACUGAGAUACGGCCCAGACUCCUACGGGAGGCAGCAGUGGGGAAUAUUGCACAAUGGGCGGAAGCCUGAUGCAGCAACGCCGCGUGCGGGAUGACGGCCUUCGGGUUGUAAACCGAUGUCGCCUGUGACGAAGCGUGAGUGACGGUAAUGGGUAAAGAAGCACCGGCUAACUACGUG
rnacentral:rRNA from 1 species